CUCGGUGCCCAUAGAAUUCUGGUCACACCCGUUCUCAUUCCGAACACGGUCGUUAAGCAGAAUUCGCCGAUGAUAGUGGCUUUGCUGCGAAAGUAGGUUAGUGCCGGGC
rnacentral:rRNA from 1 species